GGGUCGGUACCAAAGCGGUCAAAUGGGGCAGACUGUAAAUCUGUUGGCUCACGCCUUCGAAGGUUCGAAUCCUUCCCGGCCCA
rnacentral:tRNA from 1 species